AGGAUAAACGCUGGCGGCGUGCCUAACACAUGCAAGUCGAACGUCUCUUUCUUCGGGAAGAGGAGUGGCGGACGGGUGAGGAACACGUGGGAACCUGCCCUUUAGUGAGGAAUACCGGCGAGAAAUCGCCGACAAGACCGCAUAGCCCUCUUUGAUGAGAGUCAAAGAAGGAAAGCUUCGCAAGAGGCGCUAGAGGAGGGGCCUGCGUCCGAUUAGCUAGUUGGUGGGGUAAGAGCCUACCAAGGCGUCGAUCGGUAGCUGGUCUGAGAGGACGAUCAGCCACACUGGGAUUGAGAACGGCCCAGACUCCUACGGGGGGCAGCAGUGAGGAAUUUUCGGCAAUGGGGGAAACCCUGACCGAGCAACGCCGCGUGCAGGAAGACGGCCUUCGGGUUGUAAACUGCUUUUCUUGGGAAGAGAACGGACGGUACCAGAGGAAUCAGCCCGGCUCACUACGCGCCAGCAGCCGC
rnacentral:rRNA from 1 species